UUGGAGGGCAAGUCUGGUGCCAGCAGCCGCGGUAAUUCCAGCUCCAAUAGCGUAUAUUAAAGUUGUUGCAGUUAAAAAGCUCGUAGUUGAAUUUCGGGAUCAAUGUUUCGGUCAUGCCGUUGGUAUGUACUGGUCAUAUUGGUUCUCACCUUCUAAGGAACCAUAAUGUCAUUCAUUUGAUGUUUUGGGGAAUUAGGACUGUUACUUUGAAAAAAUUAGAGUGUUUAAAGCAGGCUCGCGCUUGAAUACAUUAGCAUGGAAUAAUGAAAUAGGACGUUUGACCCUAUUUUGUUGGUUUCUAAGAUCGACGUAAUGAUUAAUAGGGAUAGUUGGGGGCAUUAGUAUUCAAUUGUCAGAGGUGAAAUUCUUGGAUUUAUUGAAGACUAACUACUGCGAAAGCAUUUGCCAAGGAUGUUUUCAUUAAUCAAGAACGAAAGUUAGGGGAUCGAAGACGAUCAGAUACCGUCGUAGUCUUAACCAUAAACUAUGCCGACUAGGGAUCGGAUGAUGUUAAUUUUUUAAUGACUCAUUCGGCGCCUUAGGGAAAC
rnacentral:rRNA from 1 species